UACGUAGGGUGCGAGCGUUAAUCGGAAUUACUGGGCGUAAAGCGUGCGCAGGCGGUUCGACAAGUCAGGUGUGAAAUCCCCGGGCUUAACCUGGGAAUUGCGCUUGAAACUAGCGGGCUUGAGUGUGGCAGAGGGGGGUGGAAUUCCACGUGUAGCAGUGAAAUGCGUAGAGAUGUGGAGGAACACCGAUGGCGAAGGCAGCCCCCUGGGUCAACACUGACGCUCAUGCACGAAAGCGUGGGGAGCAAACAGG
rnacentral:rRNA from 1 species